rnacentral:rRNA from 1 species
GGAAUCUUCCACAAUGGACGCAAGUCUGAUGGAGCAACGCCGCGUGAGUGAAGAAGGUCUUCGGAUCGUAAAACUCUGUUGUUAGAGAAGAACAUGCAGGAGAGUAACUGUUCUUGUAUUGACGGUAUCUAACCAGAAAGCCACGGCUAACUACGUGUCAG